CUACGGGAGGCAGCAGUGGGGAAUCUUGCGCAAUGGGCGAAAGCCUGACGCAGCAAUGCCGCGUGAGGGAAGAAGGUCUUAGGAUUGUAAACCUCUUUCAGCAGGGACGAAAACAGACGGUACCUGCAGAAGAAGCCCCGGCUAACUACGUGCCAGCAGCCGCGGUAAUACGUAGGGGGCAAGCGUUGUCCGGAAUCAUUGGGCGUAAAGAGCGUGUAGGUGGACUGGAAGGUCUGGUGUGAAAGCCCGGGGCUCAACCCCGGAGGGUCACUGGAAACCAACAGUCUUGAGUCCGGAAGAGGAGAGUGGAAUUCCUAGUGUAGCGGUGGAAUGCGCAGAUAUUAGGAGGAACACCAAUGGCGAAGGCAGCUCUCUGGUACGUGACUGACACUGAGACGCGAAAGCGUGGGGAGCAAACAGGAUUAGAUACCCGGGUAGUCC
rnacentral:rRNA from 1 species